CGUAAUAGAUUGGUUAUUUCAAAUAACCAUUUUUUGGACUAGCAUAAGUUUGGUUAUAUCGAAUAAUCAAUUGACAAAAUUUGGUUAUUUAAUAAAUAACCAUUUUUAUUUCGGCGCCGAUUUGGUUAUAUCAAAUAACCAAAUAAUUUUGUUACACUUGGCACACUUGAGAUGACGUACGUUCGAGUUCUACUUACCCUCUCCCGCUGUGGAAAGUUAUGAAACGUGGCUUCCGGUUUAAUAUUACACACUGAUUUAAGCAGAAAGCGCGCAAAACAAGGCAUGGCCAUAGAAUAGAGAAUAAUAGAAGGGCAACUCGCGUCGGUAACCUUUAAUGUAAGCGUGGCGCGCAGUUUGUUUCGCGCAUACCGGAAAUGUGACGGCCGCCAUUACCCUGGCCAGUAAAGUGUGCAACAUUUACUAUGAAAAUAUAUGGAGUGGAAGCCGUAAAGUGGGUUAAAAUGUAGAUUUUUUUGAGCUGUUGGCUGUUUUUGGCAUCUUUUUGAAAGAAAUUGAAAUAAAAAGGCAAGUAUUUUGUAUAUAUCAUUUAACAAAUGCAUUUAUUUAAUAUAUUUAUAGCGAAAUUCAGUCGGAAAGCUUGAACAGGUUCUGAGGUUCACAAGUCCUGAGGACUUAAAUGAACUUGGAUAAAUUACAUGUUAAAUAAUAACAAAACAUACCCAUUUUUUCUACAGAUCAAUGGAAGCAAGGUGCAAUAAUUAUGACUUGUGUGUGAUUACUUAAAAAAGUCAUUAUUGCAAAAGCAACAGGUUGCAAUAGUUGUAAACAUAAACUUAACAUUCAUUUGUAGAUUGUUUAUUGCUGCUCUUCAUUUCAAUGAGAAUGGAAAUAAACCUCAGAAAACGAAGAAUGAUGGGCAAACAGAAGAGGCAUUGAUUUGGAGAGUGGCUUAUUCAAAGUCAAAAGAAGGACAAGGGGUCAUCAAACCAGUGAAAGUUGACAGCACUUAUGGAUAUGUUAAGGACUUGAUGAAAGAAGUUUUGUACUGCAGACGCAUUAAUCCAUCACUGUCCAAAGCUCUUGAUGUCGCUGGAGUGAAAGAAAUACCUGUCCCAUUGACUCGCCACAAAACGAAAAUCAGCAAAGCUGAAGCCAUUGAGCAACAUAAAUCUCGCUUUAAUAAAUAAAAUGUAACUAACCAUUCAA